AGCACGAAGGUGUGCUCAGCAUGGUCGGAAAUCAUGCGAAGAAGUGUAAAGGCAAAAGCGCGCUUAACUGCGAGACAGACACGUCGUAGCAGGUACGAAAGUAGGUCUUAGUGAUCCGGUGGUUCUGUAUGGAAGGGCCAUCGCUCAACGGAUAAAAGGUACUCCGGGGAUAACAGGCUGAUACCGCCCAAGAGUUCACAUCGACGGCGGUGUUUGGCACCUCGAUGUCGGCUCAUCACAUCCUGGGGCUGAAGCCGGUCCCAAGGGUAUGGCUGUUCGCCAUUUAAAGUGGUACGCGAGCUGGGUUUAGAACGUCGUGAGACAGUUCGGUCCCUAUCUGCCGUGGACGUUUGAGAUUUGAGAGGAGCUGCUCCUAGUACGAGAGGACCGGAGUGGACGAACCUCUGGUGUUCCGGUUGUCACGCCAGUGGCAUUGCCGGGUAGCUACGUUCGGACGGGAUAACCGCUGAAAGCAUCUAAGCGGGAAGCCUCCCUCAAGAUGAGAUCUCACUGGAACUUUAAGUUCCCUAAAGAGCCGUUGAAGACUACGACGUUGAUAGGCAGGGUGUGUAAGUGCUGUGAGGCAUUGAGCUAACCUGUACUAAUUGCUCGUGAGGCUUGACCAUAUAAC
rnacentral:rRNA from 1 species